CCCGCGCGGCAGCUCCUCGCUCGGCGCCCCACCCUCUCCCGUGCCCUGGGAGCGGCUCAGGGCACAGCGCACAAUGAGCAGCCGUGGCCGGCCCGCAGGAGCCAUCCCAGAUCUGGGGCCUUUGCGGCCUGCGACGCGCCUUGCUCCCGCGGCGGGUCCAGGCACGAGGCUGACCCAGCGCGGCGCGGUGUCACCGUCUUCCCUGUGACGGGGGGGGGGGACAGAGACGAAGCCCCUCCCCCGCCCAGCCAGGCCUGGCUGGGGCGCUGCUGAGGGAGUUCGGCGCCGAACAACGGAACAUUCUGUGCCCGCCAAAUCACCAUGCUGCGGAUAACGUCGGAACGUUCCGCGGAGUUUUGUUAAGGAGUAAGCGUGGAGGCUGCCGCAUGGCAGUGGGGAGCGCCGGCAACGGGCUGCACGGAGGUGGCAGAUCGCCUUGCGGCUCCCCCAGCCCAGCCCGCAGGCGCCAAGGCUGCACUUGCCCCAGCGCAAGGGCUGGGGUCUGCCCCAGAAACGCGCCUGGGCCCUGCCCCUCUGCGCCAGGCACAACAAGGUAACGAGCGAGAGGGACAGAGUCUGGCGUGCGCGUCCGAUCCAGGGCAAGAACAAGUCCCGUCCUCCCCAGUCCAGCUGGGACAGGACUAGGAGCUGAGCCUGGCGCAGGGUAUGAAUCACCAGUCACAGCAUCCAUAGCCCCGCCCCCCUCACUACUCCAGGCUCUGUGUCAUCACUUGUGAUAGAUCUGAGAAACAAUGGAUAUUGGCUGCCUGCAACAGUCAAUUGCCUAAUUGCCAAAUAAGAGAAACAGUUGCAAAAUGUCCAUAUUUUGAAUGUUUGUUACAUAUUUCACCUUUAGCUGGACACACAUCUCUUGAGCUAUGAAAUUUUCCACAUCUUGUGCAUUUAGCUUGAAAGCAUUUGUAGUCUGCCUGGAAUUUGUCCUUAUCCUCAGGGCUUUUAUGGUAAUGGUUUCUAGCACUCCUGGUGUGACUGCUUACAGCUUCUAAGCUUAUUUCACAUUUUUUCAAAUUGCUCCUGUCUCUUGUUCUGCUGUUUGACUAGUUCUGACUGCAUUGCUAUCUGUGUAGCAGUUGUUAGAUUUAAGUCUGUCUUUAAUUGUGGUUGCUCUGAGAGGUUCUUGUCUGUUAACUCAGUAACCAGCCUGUUUCUGAUAUUUUCAUGUUUUGCAGCCAAAAAAACAAAGUUUUCAGCCCAUGCAAGAAAAGCUCUUAUAAAAGAGGUUACAGAGUAGCAGCCGUGUUAGUCUGUAUUCGCAAAAAAGAAAAGGAGGACUUGUGGCACCUUAGAGACUAACAAAUUUAUUUGAGCAUAAGCUUUCGUGAGCUACAGUUGCAUCCGGUGAAGUGAGCUGUAGCUCAUGAAAGCUUAUGCUCAAAUAAAUUUGUUAGUCUCUAAGGUGCCACAAGUACUCCUUUUCUUUCUUAUAAAAAAGUCAACAUUUCUUUUGGUUCCUGAAUUCUCUGGUGCAAACGUACUCUUUUAUAAACCACAUUUCUCUGAGGUAUAAACUAUGCAUCAAACAUAGGCAAAACUCUUUGACAGUCUUCAAUAAAGGUAAAAGAUUUUUUUCAAAUGUGGUCUACAUCCCCAUAGCAUAAAUUAAAGAUGAUACCUGAAUA